AUCGCUUCUCGGCCUUUUGGCUAAGAUCAAGUGUAGAUAUCUGUUCUUGCCAGUUUGUCCUCUCUCUGAGGACAACAUAUUAAAUGGAUUUUUGAGCAGGGAGAUGGAAUAGGAGCUUGCUCUGUUCAUGCUGUAAGUACAUGGGCCUAGUAUUUCAGUACCUCUGGAACAGUGCACUCCCA